UACGUAGGGUGCAAGCGUUAAUCGGAAUUAUUGGGCGUAAAGCGUGCGCAGGCGGCUUUGCAAGACAGAUGUGAAAUCCCCGGGCUUAACCUGGGAACUGCAUUUGUGACUGCAUGGCUGGAGUGCGGCAGAGGGGGAUGGAAUUCCGCGUGUAGCAGUGAAAUGCGUAGAUAUGCGGAGGAACACCGAUGGCGAAGGCAAUCCCCUGGGCCUGCACUGACGCUCAUGCACGAAAGCGUGGGGAGCAAACAGG
rnacentral:rRNA from 1 species